UCCUCGAAUUCCCACCCAAUAUCAAAGCCAAUCACUGAUUGCGUUUGAAGAUGGAAGCCCUUGUGGCAUCAACAAACAGGAGCUUGAGUGGGUCACGCCAGUUCUUUGUUGAAAAGGAAACAAAUCCAUAAAAGAACAUGCUGUUCUUUAAAAGUUGUAUUUUAACUUAAGGAUAAACUGUGGGAUUAAUAUUUUGACCUAACUUGCGUUCUGAGGUUUGGUUGGGUUAUUUUUCUUUUUUUUAAGACCUAAUGAUUAAGACAGACUCCAGUGUUAUGGCCUAUCUGUGAAGUGUCACCCACACGUCUCAUAAACACACAGCCUUUACCAGCAUAUCCUGUUCUAGGUUUCACAGAAACUCACUUAACUCUCAUGGCAACACUUCAAGGCAGCCAGCUUAUAUAUGAAGAGCCCUGUCAAUUUUCCCACCGCUGUGCAUCAUGGAUACCAAACAGCCACACACAGAAAAGAGAGGUGCAACUGCUGAGAGGAAGCAUCCUAAGGAAAUCUGAUUAGUGAAGAUCGGAAAAGUCAUCCUUGAGGAGGUGAUGAAGCCAGGUCCUGAAGACUGGGUAGGAGUUAAACUGGUGACUAUAUAUCCAAAAAACUAAAUCCAGGAAACUCAACAGGUAAUGACUCAAUACUAAUCUUUUAAUUGACUGACUAAGGAAACUAUAUAAAAUUUUGUGUGUGUGUGUGCUUUUCAGGGCUACACCCACGGCAAAUGGAGGCUCCCAGGCUAAGGGGUUGAAUCGGAGCUAAAGCCACCAGCCUACGCCACAGCCACAACAAUGAGGGAUCAGAGCCAUGUCUGCAACCUACACCACAGCCCAUGGUAAUGCCGGAUCCUUAACCCACUGAACGAGGCCAGGGAUCGAACCUGCAACCUCAUGGUUCCUCGUCGGAUUUGUUUCUGCUGGGCCACAAUGGGAACUCCAUAAAUGUUUUUAAAGACCAAGUUACAAAUGUGCCCCUCAAGAGAAACCACUGUUUGGAGUCCCAACAAGCAUGACACUGACUGAAGUGUCCCAUCAUGGCUCCCUUUGGAAAGACCCAGGCCACCUAAAGGGAAUGAUAAGAUCAACAAUAAAAUCUUUUUAAUUAUCGCUAUUUUCCUGGUU
rnacentral:lncRNA from 1 species